GUCUACGGCCAUACCACCCUGAAAGCGCCCGCUCUCGUCUGAUCUCGGAAGCUAAGUAGGGUCGGGCCUGGUUAGUACUUGGAUGGCAGAUUGAGAAGAAAGCUUAUAACCUUAACCA
rnacentral:rRNA from 1 species